CCUACGGGGGGCAGCAGUGAGGAAUAUUGGUCAAUGGACGAGAGUCUGAACCAGCCAAGUAGCGUGAAGGAUGACUGCCCUAUGGGUUGUAAACUUCUUUUAUAAAGGAAUAAAACGAGGCACGUGUGCCUUUUUGCAUGUACUUUAUGAAUAAGGAUCGGCUAACUCCGUGCCAGCAGCCGCGGUAAUACGGAGGAUCCGAGCGUUAUCCGGAUUUAUUGGGUUUAAAGGGAGCGUAGGCGGAGGCACAAGUCAGCGGUAAAAUCGCGGGGCUCAACCCCGCUCCGCCGUUGAAACUGUGUCCCUUGAGUGCGCGAAGGGUAGGCGGAAUGCGUGGUGUAGCGGUGAAAUGCAUAGAUAUCACGCAGAACCCCGAUUGCGAAGGCAGCUUACUAAACUGUGACUGACAUUGAUGCUCGAAAGUGUGGGUAUCAAACAGGAUUAGAUACCCUGGUAGUC
rnacentral:rRNA from 1 species